rnacentral:lncRNA from 1 species
CAGAGAUAUCAAAGAGCUGCUAGAAGGUCAGCAGAAAAGGUCUGUGGAACUGGAGUGGGAGCCCAGUGCACAAUCUCAGUGCAAGUCCAGCCACAGCCCCCAGAUCCUGCCUGGACCCUCACUUCAGCAAGGCAGGACCUCUAAAUCAGCAGCAGUGCUGGAGGCUUCUGGAUCUCUCAGCCCAGGGACACCAGGGAGGACUUGAAAGGAGCAGCAGUGGCAGCAGCAUUGAUGUGGAACUGGAUGAUGAGCCUCCUUGUAUGGAAGAGAUCGAUUAUAGUACAGACUGCUCCUCAGAUCAGGAAACAGAUGUCUAUGAACUUGAUCAACAGAUUCAAGAGAUGACCUUGGCAGAAGCUAGAGGAGAUGGGGAAGAGAAAAAUGGGGUUGAUAAUAGUUCAGUUAGUAGCCCUGAAUUUUAUGUUUCCAAACACUGGACAAACAAAUACAGAACUUCCCCUUAAAUUUCAGAGUCAACUGAAAUAUUAUCAAAAGAAAAAAUAUAUAGGACAAUGGUAUCCCUGCAUGAAUAGUAAUAAAAGAUUUUUAGGGAUCACUUUGAUUCUACAUGUACUUUUAGAUCUAUCAUCCAAACAGACAUAUAUGUGCAUAUAUGAAUAUACAGUAUAUGUGUAUGUAUGUAUAUAUAUAAUACAUACAUACAUACACACAUAUAUUAUCAAAUUACCCACUUUUUCAGAGCCCAAAGAUGUAAUUCUUUUUGAUCUGGUCAGUUUGAUUUAAUUAGUCUUUUUUAGAUUUAAAAUCAACUUAAUUUUAGCAAAUUUAUGUGUGUACACACACACUUACAGAUGGCAGCAAGAAAACACCGUGAGACCCCAAACUUCCUGAAUGUCAAGGCCAUAUUUCAUUAAUUGACAAACUAUAUCAUUUCCUUUGUUGAAAGAUAAUUUGUAUAAUACAUACAUACAUGCAUGCAUACUCUAUAUACAUAUAAGCACAUAUAUGUCUAUUUAAGUAUGUAGAUUUGUGUUGUUUUUAAAGUGACAGUGAGCCUUGGAGCCACUUAAAGAAUUUGUCAUUCUGGCUUAGAACUUCAUUUUUCAGUUGGCCAUGAAUCUUUUAAAUUCUUCCUUACCCUAUGUCUAAAGUAAUAGAAGCAUAGGGAUAUCUAAAAUUUAGGUUUUUUUCCCCCCAGAUUUCUCAGUCAUAAUUCUAAGGAAGAUUAAUUGAUUGCCCUCUCCUCCCCCUCCCCCCCCAAACUGCUCUAUUGUUUUUGUGUCCUCAAUGCAUUUUGGAGCAUAAGAAUAGAUAAAAGCAAUACAGAAUAAAAUAGAACAAUAAGAACAAAGCAAAAGAACCUUCUGUUCUUUUUUUCCUAUUGGUAACUUCUCUUUACAAUAAAAACCAUAAGCUACUCAAACACUGCAACAGAUCUACUUAUGUUAUUGGCCAAUGGCUAUAAAGAUGCUCCAACCUGAAUUGUAAUUAAUUAUUCCUCCCAUUUUACAUAGUCCUCCUCCUCAAAAAAAAAGAUAUUUAGAAAGUGAAUAAUUUCAUAGAAAGUAAGAUUACAUCUUCAAAAUUAUUCUCUAAAGGGGUCCCAGAAAUAAUUAAUUUUUAAAAAAUUGAGGCACAUUAAAAACAUAGAAGGAAGAGGCCAUGCUUUUCCUUCUUUCCAUCAUUGUUACUUUUUGACUGAGUAGUAUUAAUUAUAAAGCUAUCUGGUCUAGUUUGCUUAACUACUCAGCCAUAUAGUGAUAUAGAAGAAGAAUCCACAUCAAUCACCAAUUAGGAAUUCACAGAAUGAAAGUUGACACAUAAUUCUACAGCAACUAUCUAUGUACUAUGAUUUGAUUGAUCAAAAGGACCAUUUUGCUGCCAAUUAUUUCUUUGCCAAUAACCAUAUAUAUCUUCCCCAAAUUUUCAUGUGAUUCUUUUAUGUUAGGAAUUGAAAGCCUCACUCAGUAAUAUGAAAAAUGUUAUGGGGGUAGAAUGAAACUUCCAGAAUCUAUCUAACACUUGAGCCCAAUUAAUUUAUCUAAUAUAUUUUAGUCACUUAUGGCUCUGAGGGAAAGGUUCAAAGGGUAUAUAAGCUUUACUAGGGGAAGAAGCUAAAGUGAAAUUUGAAGUGUUGGGAAUUUACCUAGGGAUAAAGUUUGGGGAUCAGAGUGAAUAAAAGGAACCAUCUAAUAGUCCUGGGCAGAUGGCAUCAAGAGGACUCUGAAGGGACAGAGUUGGAGAUGCCUAACAUCCUUAGUGGCAAGGGCUCAAUUCACUAGUUAUCUGACUAGACCAUUUCCUGUGUGAGAAGACAAUUCACUAAGUUCAAAAACAACACAACCAGGUGAAUUCCAGAUCCUCAGAAACAGCUGUCUAGUAAACUCAGACAGCUAUUUUCUGGCCAAACCACUAUGGUGAAUUGAUCUCGAAGACAUGCUUUGUAGAUCUCUUAGCCAAAUGAAGUCAUGCAAGAAUGCCAGGAAGCCCAAUAUAAUAAUGAGACAAAGAUGUAGUUAAAAAAAAUAAUUCAGAGAAGGUGACCAGUUCUGGACAAAUUUCUACUGAUAUAAGUGUAAAGUUAUUAUUUUAGAAGUCUUGUCUCUUGAUUGAGUGUUUUAAAUGAUAGGAAGAACCCUUCCCUUAUAAAUAGUAUAUUUAAAAAUAUAAAACCAUUGUACAGAGGGCAGGUUAUAUCUUGGUGUCAAUAUUGGAGGGGGGGUUACUACCCUGUGAUGUGAUGAUAAAUAUUUAACAACCUUCUUUCUAGGAGAAGAAAAAAAAAUUGUGCAUGACACACUUAAAGUUUAAUCUGCUUUUUAAAUUUUUUUUUUUCUUCACACAUUUCAAAGUUUAGCCAAUCAAUAAAAGAAUUCAGCCAUGAUCUCUAGUAUCUUCCAAUUGAGCUAUAAGUACUCCCUCUGAAAACCUAACAAUCAACUCUCAGGAACCACUUAGAGUCUGCUCAAACAUAUUCCUGUUUCUAGUUUUUUAGCUGUUUGCCCUAUUCCUCAUGUUCAAGCCAAUUAAUUCAUGUGAAAGUAGCAAACCAUGAGCUCUGUGAGAUUCUGUUUCUUCCAAAGACUGGACUGGUGGUCUUGAGUACUAGACUAUAAAUUUAUAGUAUUUCUCUGAAAUCUCAAGAUUGUGUUUAGCAAUCUUCUUGUUUCCAAUUCUAGGAUCUGUAGUGAAGAAAAAUGUGUUGAAUUCACUCCAUAGGUAACUGUAACAAGUGUAACUAUUGUUUCUCAUACUAACCACUCUCUUGUUAACUCCCAGUGUGAUGUGAAAUUCAUAGGCAAAUAUAAUGGCUUGUAUUUUCUGAGUUGUAAAAAUGGUGAAAAAAAUUAAUACAGAUAUAAUAAAAAACUGUGUGCUGUCUUUAAAGAAAGUGAUUGCAUCACUUUUCA